rnacentral:rRNA from 1 species
UACAGAGGGGGCAAGCGUUAUUCGGAAUUACUGGGCGUAAAGCGCGCGUAGGCGGCUGUGCAAGUCUGGCGUGAAAGCCCCGGGCUCAGCCCGGGAAGUGCGCUCGAAACUGCACGGCUCGAGUGCCGGAGGGGAGAGUGGAAUUCCUGGUGUAGCGGUGAAAUGCGUAGAUAUCUGGAGGAAUACCGGUGGCGAAGGCGGCAUCCUGGACCGGCAUUGACGCUGAGGAGCGAAAGCCAGGGGAGCAAACGGG